UGAGCUUCGAACGGGCAGAAAGGUGACAAAUUGUCGCUUUUUGUCCAUUUGUGCCCACGUGUCACUUUCAACGUACCUCUCUAUAACAUGACUCAGCUGUGAUCCAAACAACAAGGUCAGGGUGGCUAUGGUCAGUUCUUCAGCUUCGAACGGGCAGAAAGCCAAAGAACAAGAUCAGGGGCCUAUGGUCAGUUCUUGAGCUUCGAACGGGCAGAAAGGUGACAAAUUGUCGCUUUUUGCCCAUUUGUGCCCACGUGUCACUUUCAACGUACCUCUCUAUAAC